rnacentral:rRNA from 1 species
AUUGAACGCUGGCGGCAGGCUUAACACAUGCAAGUCGAACGAGCGGCGGACGGGUGAGUAAUGUCUGGGAAACUGCCUGAUGGCGGGGGAUAACUACUGGAAACGGUAGCUAAUACCGCAUACCAUCAGAUGUGCCCAGAUGGGAUUAGCUUGUUGGUGGGGUAACGGCUCACCAAGGCGACGAUCCCUAGCUGGUCUGAGAGGCUGACCAGCCCCACUGGAACUGAGACACGGUCCAGACUCCUACGGGAGGCAGCAGUGGGGAAUAUUGCACAAUGGGCGCAAGCCUGAUGCAGCCAUGCCGCGUGUAUGAAGAAGGCCUUCGGGUUGUAAAGCACUUUCAGCGGGGAGGCGUUACUCGCAGAAGAAGCACCGGCUAACUCCGUGCCAGCAGCCGCGGUAAUUC